GCCGACGUAGCUCAUCAGGUAGAGCAACUGACUUGUAAUCAGUAGGUGGAGGGUCCGAGUCCUUUCGUCGGCACCA
rnacentral:tRNA from 1 species